UCUCCCUACACAUGAAUAGAUCAGUAUUUAUCUAAAGGCUCAGUAUCCCCAUGCAGAUUUCUGGAGCUCUUUGAUUGUAUAGUGUCCUCCUUUCCAGUACUCUGUGCCCUACAAUCUAGCUGCCCAUGGCCUUCAUGAUCUCUGUUUGGGUUCCUCCUUCUGGGGAAGAGAUUUAUCAUAGAAAUUUCCCCCAGGUUAAGCUGGUACAAUUGGAGGGUUUACCUUGUGUUUUCUUUUCUACUGGGGAUCAUAGUUCUACAUUGCUUGUUGCCUGAUGUCUGAGCACAAUUGUUUAAUACAAUCUGUUCUGUCUUGUAUUUUGUUUUUACAAUGGGGUUAGGAGGUAUUUCAUAGGAGUUUCUCCUUCAUAGAUAGAAGAAAAGUUGAAAUUAAGCCAUUUGCAUAAUCACAGAGAUAGGCGAUGGCAGAACUGGGUCUUAAACUCAGAUAUGACAAACGUCAAAGCCUAUGUUUUUCACUCUUUUUUUUCUUUAAUAUUUAUUUAUUUUUGAGAGAGACAGACUGUGAGUGAGGGAGGGGCAAAGAGAGAAGGAGACACAGAAUCCGAAGCAGUCUCCAGGCUCUGAGCUGUCAGCACAGGGCCCCAUGGCUCGAACUCAUGAACUGUGAGAUUGUGACCUGAGCUGAAGUUGAACACUUAAUCAGCUGAGCCACCCAGGGGCCCCCUAUGUUUUUCACUCUUAUCAAGAUCCUGUUCUCCCCCCAACCUCUCUCUCUCUUUUUCAAAUAUCACAUUCCAGAAAGAAGUCAAGUAAAAAUUCUAUCAGUGAAAAGAAAAUUGGUUAUUUUGCUUGCUGGUAAUUUCAGUAAAAAGGGUUAGCCAGGGAGUUUGCUAUUAGAGUUGGGCUGCUUCUCAGAAGUGCCAUUGCCAAAGUGAGCUUUCAUUUAUUUUCUUCCCCUGUGAGUGAGUGGAGAAAGCGUGGGACAGCUCUUCAUUUAUUUGCUCACUCGUUUACCAAUUCUAUCAUUGAUUCAUCCAUUCAAGAUUAUUUAUGGAACACCUACUGUGUUCCGGGCACUAGGCUUCUCUUUGAGAGGGGAAGGGAGAGGGAACUCCUAAAGAUCUUCUUUCACUGUCUUUCCCCCUCUCCUUGCUCGCUCCCCCAAACCUUUAACAUGAGCAUGUGGAAAGGGCCCAGAUGGUGACAUUGUAGGUUUGUCUCUCCCUGGAUUCUGGUGGAGCUUCUGAGUGGUUAGGAGGGAAGUUAAGGCCUCUUUCCCUAUUAAAAUAAGCGCCAGGAUCCCUGGGAGGAUAUCACACAUUAAGCUAUUGUCAGCUGAACCUUAGCCAGCCAUUAAUGUUUCAGGGAAGAUUUAUUAAGUGCUAACUGGGAGUAAGGAUGGAGAACAGCACAGACCCCUUGGGAAUCCUUGGGACAGAAGGCGAAGGCAAGGGAAUUCUCACAAGAAAGGUGGCAAGAGAGACUGAAAUUUUGCCUCAAGCUGAGCCGUCUAAGGAUCUGGCUCUUGCCCUCUUCGGUCUGGGUGUCAUAAUGACAACCAAGGUGAGUGACAUCUUGUAGGUUAUGAGUCCUUCCCAAGCUCAUUUUGUCCUGUCUCUCGAUAGCCCCUGGAAGUAAACAUCAACACCGCAGAAGAGAUGGAAGCUUGGAGAAGGGAAGUCACGGGCUCAAGUCAUGCAGCUGGGAGGCAGGGAGAGGUGGAGAAACUGGAUGGACACAGCCUCCCCCAUGCAGGAUGUAUCACCUGGGACCAGGGGAAGAAACUGAAAUUCCUGUGGGCAGAUGGAGCAUGGGAGUUCCACGUGACUUCCUCUGUGCUGCUCAUGCCACAGCCCCAGUAACGCUGAGCACAGAGUUGGUGCUCAAUAAAACUUCCUCAAGGGCAGGGUGAUGACGGUGACGGUGGCAGUGGCAUUGGUGGCGACGAGAAGGACUCGUUAAUCUCCUCCUUCCUUCCCAGGUUCAGAUUUGUUUUUCCUUUUCCGACCUACCGCCGCCUCAGAGCCUCACCCUGGGACUUUCUGGUAUCCCGAGGAUAACAGGCAGCACCUGUUGCAAAGAACAGCCCACAGAGUGAGCUUUUAAAAGGAGACGGCUCAGCGUUGGGGAGGAAGGCAAGGCCCCGGAGGCCAUAACGGGAAACAGUGGCGGUUUCGUGGCCCGAGGCCUGAGAUGGUGGAGUGAGUUUAUCGAAUGCUAUCCAGUGAUGAUUACUUGUUACUGAACAUUGACGUAUCUCUCAACACCGGCCGGGAUCUUUUACGAUGCCUGUUACUAAGCCAACAGGGGUAUACCUGUGUCCGAAAGUGGAAUGCUUGCAUUUGGUGGGACUGGAAUGUUUUUUAUUCUCAGAUGUCCGGGUUCAUCUCCGCAGCUGGUUGUAUAAAUAUCAAAGAACAAAAUGUCAAGGGCAGUGUUUGACCCUGCCCCUGGGUUAGGGGUGCAGGGGAUCUGGUAUGGGGCGUAACAACUCCGAAUCAACCAGACAGGCUCUGCAGGAGUCCUUGAGAUGAGAUGCUGGCCACAGCUCCUGUGGCUCAAUCGGCCCUCUUGAGGGCCUUUGCAUUCCCGCGUGGAUCGUUGCUGCGGCUGUUGGUGCGUAUUGUCGCCGUUCAUGGUGCGGCGUCUGUCGUCUGUCUUCGGCAUUGGACUGUGAGCUUUUUGAGGGCACGGACUACAUCUGAAUUGUCUUUUUUAUCCUUAACAUAGGACCUGGCGUGCGGUAGACGCUUCAUAAAUGUUUCUUGACCGCGUAAGUAGAACGAACAUACGUGAGUAGAUAUGUGAGGCACGCGUCAUAUAAUGUAGGCACACAUCGUAUACAGAGGAAGCAAUCAUCAAAACGCCACCUGUUGGCAGAGGUUAGCUCUUCCCUCUGUUCCUGGGCUGCGGUCCGUGACCCCUUCCCCUUUUCGCCCACAGCCCUCCUCCUCAGGCUGACCGUCCCCAAACAAGAAUUGCCAAGCUCUGCCAGUCUCUCUCUGCCACCAAAAGCCCAAGCUCAGGCCACAGGGAUGAAAUGUUCUUUUGUUAACUGGCUGUUGAUCAACUCCUUCUGUAUCACUGUGAUGCAGUAUAAUUUAAGGAAUGUCAAAAGACACAACAUUUCUGAAAUAACGAAAAUAUUCACUAAAAUGUGCUAUGUAAGUAACACAUGCUUCUUGUAGCAGCUAAAAAAUAUAAAGAAAAAAAAGAAAAUAGAAAUCACCUGUAAUCCCACCAUCCAGAAUUAAUAGCUGUUAUUUACCUAGGACAUUUAUCUCUCUAUCAUCUCUAUUUCUAGUUCUGUCAUCUCUCUCUCUCGCUCUAUCAUCUCCAUAUCUCACUCUCUAUCAUCUCUAUCUCUAUCCCUGACACCAUUUAUAUAAUUUAAAUAAGUGAUUUUUACAAAUAUGGAAUCAAACUGUACUAAUUCUAAUAGCUGAUAUUUAUAGAGGACCUUCUAUGUGCAGGCAUUCUUCUAAUCUUUUUUUGUUCUGGCUUAAUCCUCAAAAUAAUACUAAGAGGUAAGUAUUAAUACAAUCAUCCCCAAAUGAGGGAUGAGGAAACGGAA